UCCCCAGUGGCGCAAUCGGUUAGCGCGCGGUGCUUAUAAUGCUGAGGCUGUGAGUUCGAUCCUCAUCUGGGGAA